GACCGCGUAGCUCAGUUGGAAGAGCAUUGGGCUAGUAUCCCAAAGGUCGUAGGUUCGAAUCCCACCGUGGCCA